rnacentral:misc_RNA from 1 species
AAUAGCUAAUUGAAAUGUGAAAGAAAGAGAAAAAAGCACUAGUAUAUAUAACUGAAAUGAAAAAUUGUAGUGAGACUAAGACUGAGAUUUGGAUUUAUGUAGGGAUUUGAUUAAUUAGGUGAUUAUUCAAAACAAAAUGUGAAAAAGGGUUGUAUCAAGAAAAUGAAAAAAAGAGGAUGGUGGUGGUGGUGGUCGAGUGUGGGAGGAGACGAUGGUGGUUGUGGUGGCAAUUGAAAACGGGAAGUCAUUGGAUUCUCACCUUAUAAUGCAAAACAUAUAAAUAUAUAUACCAUGAUAGGAAACUAUUGGAUUGCUUUCAGAUUAAAGUAUUCACUGGCUGCUACUUAUACUCCCAUUCUUUUUAUUUCAAAAAAAAAAAGAAAAAAAAGCUGAGGGAAGAAAAUAUUUGGCAGAUAUAUACACACACACACGCACACAUUGUUUCCUUCAUGACUAUAAGUUUUCCAGCAUUCAAAGUACAUCAUACCUAAACUAAAUUUUUUGUUGAACAUGAAUAUAAAAUCAAUUUCGUAGUCCCCCUGUUUUGAAACUGGAAUUUUACAAGAAUUCAAAUUAAUUGAUUUUUUUAAUCAAUUCUCAUGUUUAGAAUGAAAUAAUUCAAUUUUUUUAACUUAAAAAUAUUUUCAUUUUAAAAGAAAUAGAAA